rnacentral:rRNA from 1 species
UACGGGGGGAGCAAGCGUUGUUCGGAUUUACUGGGCGUAAAGGGCGCGUAGGCGGCCACCGCAAGUCGAUUGUGAAAUCUCCGGGCUUAACCCGGAAAGGUCAACCGAUACUGCGGGGCUAGAGUGCAGAAGGGGCAACUGGAAUUCUCGGUGUAGCGGUGAAAUGUGUAGAUAUAUGGAAGAACAUCAAUAACGGCGAAGGCAGUUAACUAUUCUGUUACUGACGUUGAGGCACGAAAGCGUGGGGAGCAAAAAGG